UGGAUUAUAAUCCCAGUUCUUUUGAAGCCCAGGCUCAUCCACACCCCGAGCCAACACAGGGAGCUGCUUCAUUAAAAAUAAUCCAUCAGCCUUCCGGAGCACGGAGUCACCAUUCCCAUCCCCUCCCUGGCCCUGGCACCCCUGUGGCACCGGCACAGCCAUUAAUUAAAAACAAUUCCCACGCUGGGGAAACGGCUCCAAAUCCCAAAUCCCACCCAGAGCAGGAAAACAGGGAGAGGCUGGAGCUGCCCGGCCUCUGAGGGGGAGAGCCUGGCAGAGGGAUUGCCAGGGAGGUGCCAUGGGAGAGCCUGGCAGAGGGAUUGCCAGGGAGGUGCCAUGGGAGAGCCUGGCAGAGGGAUUGCCAGGGAGGUGCCAGGGGAGAGCCUGGCAGAGGGAUUGCCAGGGAGGUGCCAGGAGGAGAGCCUGGCAGAGGGAUUGCCAGGGAGGUGCCAUGGGAGAGCCUGGCAGAGGGAUUGCCAGGGAGGUGCCAGGGGAGAGCCUGGCAGAGGGAUUGCCAGGGAGGUGCCAUGGGAGAGCCUGGCAGAGGGAUUGCCAGGGAGGUGCCAGGGGAGAGCCUGGCAGAGGGAUUGCCAGGGAGGUGCCAUGGGAGAGCCUGGCAGAGGGAUUGCCAGGGAGGUGCCAGGGGAGAGCCUGGCAGAGGGAUUGCCAGGGAGGUGCCAUGGGAGAGCCUGGCAGAGGGAUUGCCAGGGAGGUGCCAUGGGAGAGCCUGGCAGAGGGAUUGCCAGGGAGGUGCCAGGGGAGAGCCUGGCAGAGGGAUUGCCAGGGAGGU